rnacentral:rRNA from 1 species
CUACACAUGCAGUCGAACGGUAACAGGAAGCAGCUUGCUGCUUCGCUGACGAGUGGCGGACGGGUGAGUAAUGUCUGGGAAACUGCCUGAUGGAGGGGGAUAACUACUGGAAACGGUAGCUAAUACCGCAUAACGUCGCAAGACCAAAGAGGGGGACCUUCGGGCCUCUUGCCAUCGGAUGUGCCCAGAUGGGAUUAGCUAGUAGGUGGGGUAACGGCUCACCUAGGCGACGAUCCCUAGCUGGUCUGAGAGGAUGACCAGCCACACUGGAACUGAGACACGGUCCAGACUCCUACGGGAGGCAGCAGUGGGGAAUAUUGCACAAUGGGCGCAAGCCUGAUGCAGCCAUGCCGCGUGUAUGAAGAAGGCCUUCGGGUUGUAAAGUACUUUCAGCGGGGAGGAAGGCGAUAAGGUUAAUAACCUUGUCGAUUGACGUUACCCGCAGAAGAAGCACCGGCUAACUCCGUGCCAGCAGCCGCGGUAAUACGGAGGGUGCAAGCGUUAAUCGGAAUUACUGGGCGUAAAGCGCACGCAGGCGGUCUGUCAAGUCGGAUGUGAAAUCCCCGGGCUCAACCUGGGAACUGCAUUCGAAACUGGCAGGCUAGAGUCUUGUAGAGGGGGGUAGAAUUCCAGGUGUAGCGGUGAAAUGCGUAGAGAUCUGGAGGAAUACCGGUGGCGAAGGCGGCCCCCUGGACAAAGACUGACGCUCAGGUGCGAAAGCGUGGGGAGCAAACAGGGAUUUAGAUACCCUGGUAGUCCAC